GACGAACGCUGGCGGCGUGCUUAACACAUGCAAGUCGAACGGAAAGGCCCUGCUUUUGUGGGGUGCUCGAGUGGCGAACGGGUGAGUAACACGUGAGUAACCUGCCCUUGACUUUGGUAUAACUUCAGGAAACUGGGGCUAAUACCGGAUAGGAGCUCCUGCUGCAUGGUGGGGGUUGGAAAGUUUCGGCGGUUGGGGAUGGACUCGCGGCUUAUCAGCUUGUUGGUGGGGUAGUGGCUUACCAAGGCUUUGACGGGUAGCCGGCCUGAGAGGGUGACCGGCCACAUUGGGACUGAGGUAUGGCCCAGACUCCUACGGGAGGCAGCAGUGGGGAAUAUUGCACAAUGGGCGGAAGCCUGAUGCAGCAACGCCGCGUGCGGGAUGACGGCCUUCGGGUUGUAAACCGCUUUCGCCUGUGACGAAGCGUGAGUGACGGUAAUGGGUAAAGAAGCACCGGCUAACUACGUG
rnacentral:rRNA from 1 species